AAAUUAGGGUUUGCUGAUUUUUAUUUUAAAUAUCCAGUUUUAAGAAGAAUAAUAACAAUGCACAAGGAGCGCAGUCCAGGGGAAGUGUAACCACUGUAAGAGAAAAAGAAAAAGAUGCGAUUGUGGGCGGGGACUAAAAAUAAAAGCGGGAUCUGAUUUUUCACAAGUGAAACCCCAAUUUUUCAAAAGCUCCCUCUCUUUCUCACUCGCACUCACACUCUCGCUCUCUCUCUCUCUCUCUCUUCUCUCGUUCCUUCUCACUCUCACAAUUUCUCUCUUCUCUUUCACUCUUUCUUUCUCACUCUUGCUUUGCCUCUCUUUCUCUAUCGCUGUGGCUAGCUCGUGCUCUCUCAGUGGCUCGCUCACCCCUCGCUCAGUCUCUCUUCCUCCAUUGUCUUGCUGGGAAGGCAACAAAUCAAUAUUAUGGAAAUGAUUUGAGGAAUAGGGUCAUGAGAGAGAAUCGCAGACAUAAGAUGGUGUGGGCUACAUAUAAUUUCCCGCACUCUCAAAUUAAGUUGUAAAGCAACCGAAGCCUUGGGUAUCACAGAUGAAGAUGCAUUUUCAUGUUUAUUACGAUUUUAGAUGAUGCGAAUGUUGUAGCUGACAUUCAUGCAUAUGCUAAUCUAGGUAUCACUCAGGGUAAUGCUUUAAUAUUUUAUAUGCCUUAAGACAGGAAAAUCUUGAAGAGUGACUAUAUGAGAUGGAGAAAUUGAAUAAUCCCUUUCUUUUCACUUCAGCAGUAUCUAAUUGCUUCCAAAUCACCAACAAGCCCAAGUGUAAAAACUCUGUUCAGUUUCAAUGACGAUUGUGUUGUUGAGGCUUGAGAGUUAUAUUGUUUCUAAGCAGAUUAUAUGAUAUUAUGUGUUGGUUUUGUGAUUUCUCAAUAGGGUUGUUUCUUGUAACUUGGCAUUCUCUUCUACUGAGAAACAUUCAUGCAUUUGCAUAAAUGAAUGCUUUUAUGUAGAGGUUAUUGUUGUUAUAAUACUUUCUGUGCCAAUAUUUAAAUUGGCUUUUAAUUCCAGUCCGUGUUGGUACCCAACUUUUGCAUGAAGAAGAAAGCUCAGGGAAUUGGAUUUAUGCUUUUUUUGCUAAUUGUGUUGAUAAUUUUUCUCGCUGAUUGAUGUGUACAUGGAGGCUUAAACUACAAAGACAAGUGCUACGGAAAGUCAAGCUUCUAAGUUAGAAAUUCUACGUUUUACUAUACUAGAUAGUUUGGUUUAUUUCAGCAUGUAUUGUUUUCAAUGUAAUUUUUUUUAAUGUUUUUUUAGUAUCAUUUCUCAAGAUAGUUAACAUGUUAUUACGAGUUUUUGAAUGUUUGUACCUAAAUAUUCUAUUUUAGUGGAUAUUAAAUUUCA